rnacentral:rRNA from 1 species
CCUACGGGAGGCAGCAGUAGGGAAUAUUGGUCAAUGGAUGGAAGUCUGAACCAGCCAUGCCGCGUGCAGGAAGAAGGCCUUCUGGGUUGUAAACUGCUUUUGCCAGGGGCUAAAAAGCUCAUGCGUGAGAAAUUGAAAGUACCUGGUGAAUAAGCCACGGCUAACUACGUGCCAGCAGCCGCGGUAAUACGUAGGUGGCAAGCGUUGUCCGGAUUUAUUGGGUUUAAAGGGUGCGUAGGCGGCUUUGUAAGUCAGUGGUGAAAUAUGGCAGCUCAACUGUCAGGGUGCCAAUGAUACUGCGGAGCUUGAGUACAGAUGAGGUAGGCGGAAUUGACGGUGUAGCGGUGAAAUGCUUAGAUAUCGUCAAGAACACCGAUAGCGAAGGCAGCUUACUAGGCUGUAACUGACGCUGAGGCACGAAAGUGUGGGGAUCAAACAGG